AUUUGGCAUGGGCGCAAGCCUGAUCCAGCCCCCCGCGUGCAUGAUGAAGGCCCUCGGGUUGUAAACUGCUUUUGUACGGAACGAAACGGCGCGCUCUAAUAAAGUGCGCUCAUGACGGUACCGUAAGAAUAAGCACCGGCUAACUACGUGCCAGCAGCCGCGGUAAUACGUAGGGUGCAAGCGUUAAUCGGAAUUACUGGGCGUAAAGCGUGCGCAGGCGGUUUUGUAAGACAGGCGUGAAAUCCCCGGGCUUAACCUGGGAAUUGCGCUUGUGACUGCAAGGCUAGAGUACGGUAGAGGGGGGUAGAAUUCCGCGUGUAGCAGUGAAAUGCGUAGAUAUGCGGAGGAACACCGAUGGCGAAGGCAGCCCCCUGGACCUGUACUGACGCUCAUGCACGAAAGCGUGGGGAGCAAACAGGAUUAGAUACCCUGGUAGUCCACGCCCUAAACGAUGUCAACUGGUUGUUGGGAAUUUACUUUCUCAGUAACGAAGCUAACGCGUGAAGUUGACCGCCUGGGGAGUACGGCCGCAAGGUUGAAACUCAAA
rnacentral:rRNA from 1 species